rnacentral:lncRNA from 1 species
UGUGGCACCAGUGACCCCUAACUGGGUUCCAGCUCAUCAUAGUUUAAAGUGUGGACGUUAAAUUUGAGGUCUCACCACAGACUGAGAUCAUGAUUCAACAGAAAUAAAGCUGCUGCAGCAGCAAACGUCAUCAAAUAAUACUCUUGCUUCAUGAACCAACAGAGCAAACGAAUUAAUCUGAGCCCGAAGCAGCAAACAUUCCAGCACGUUCCAAACAACGAUGAAGUUCGGCCUGUCAUCAAAACACACGUCCACUUAGCGAAACGACAACAGCAGCUGAGCAUCGUCGCCCGGAGGCCAUAGCUGCACCUCCUCUUCCCUCUACUGCUUCCAGCUCUGGCUGGGUUCUGUGGGUUCUGACAGCGCUCAGCAGCUGCUCACUCAGGGUCCGACCUCGGGUUCUUGUGCAGUCGAAGCUCUGAUGGGUUUUCUUUCACAGACUGACUGAUGUCUGUGCCGCUUCCUCUCUCGCCCUUCAUUUCCUGUGUCUGAUCCUGUGCCUCCGUCAUCUGCUGGUAAAACCACAUUCGACACUUUCCAAGUGUGCGAUAUCAGAAUCUACAUGCUCUGACUUCAUUUCCUGUAAAACAACAACUCGGGUCUUGAGUUUAUGGUUCUUAUUAGACCUGACGUCUCAUGACUCAGCAGAAUGCAGCUGGGGGUGGAAGCGGCGGCUCGGUGCCAGCGCUGGUGAAAGACAACACCAGUGGGAAAGCGGCUCCGUCUUGGCGGCCGGACCGGCGGCUCGGACCGCCCGCCUCCGCUCACGGCCCGCUCUCGUACGGACAGGCAGGAGACGCUGAGGAAGCAACGAAGGGAUGAGGAGCUCACACAUAAAGGGAGCACAGCCUGAACCUGAACAUGCAGGUUUGCAGCUGUAAUGAAGGCGCCUGGCUCAUCUGACAGGUCAAACCACUGAUGGGAUGUGAUGCCUGCGACUGCAGCUUUGGAUGAGCUGUUCGGAGCCUCCCAGUUAAGUUAACCAACAGCUGAGCAGCAUCCCAUUAGUCACAGUGGGUCCAGAUACGUUUAAAACCUCCUUCUCCUCGCGUUCCAAU